CCAUANUUCGCUUUGGAAACUGUCAAACUUGAGUGCAGAAGGGGAGAGUGGAAUUCCAUGUGUAGCGGUGAAAUGCGUAGAUAUAUGGAGGAACACCGGUGGCGAAAGCGGCUCUCUGGUCUGUAACUGACGCUGAGGCUCGAAAGCGUGGGGAGCGAACAGGAUUAGAUACCCUGGUAGUNCACGCCGUAAACGAUGAGUGCUAGGUGUUGGAUCCUUUCCGGGAUUCAGUGCCGCAGCUAACGCAUUAAGCACUCCGCCUGGGGGGUACGACCGCAAGGUUGAAACUCAAAGGAAUUGACGGGGGCCCGCACAAGCGGUGGAGCAUGUGGUUUAAUUCGAAGCAACGCGAAGAACCUUACCAGGUCUUGACAUCCCGAUGCUAUUUCUAGAGAUAGAAAGUUACUUCGGUACAUCGGUGACAGGUGGUGCAUGGUUGUCGUCAGCUCGUGUCGUGAGAUGUUGGGCUAANNNNNNNNNCGAGCGCAACCCCUAUUGUUAGUUGCCAUCAUUCAGUUGGGCACUCUAGCGAGACUGCCGGUAAUAAACCGGAGGAAGGUGGGGAUGACGUCAAAUCAUCAUGCCCCUUAUGACCUGGGCUACACACGUGCUACAAUGGUUGGUACAACGAGUUGCGAGUCGGUGACGGCAAGCUAAUCUCUUAAAGCCAAUCUCAGUUCGGAUUGUAGGCUGC
rnacentral:rRNA from 1 species